CGCGGCCUAUCAGCUUGUUGGUGAGGUAAUGGCUCACCAAGGCGACGACGGGUAGCCGGCCUGAGAGGGCGACCGGCCACACUGGGACUGAGACACGGCCCAGACUCCUACGGGAGGCAGCAGUGGGGAAUAUUGCACAAUGGGCGAAAGCCUGAUGCAGCGACGCCGCGUGAGGGAUGACGGCCUUCGGGUUGUAAACCUCUUUCAGCAGGGAAGAAGCGAAAGUGACGGUACCUGCAGAAGAAGCGCCGGCUAACUACGUGCCAGCAGCCGCGGUAAUACGUAGGGCGCAAGCGUUGUCCGGAAUUAUUGGGCGUAAAGAGCUCGUAGGCGGCUUGUCACGUCGGGUGUGAAAGCCCGGGGCUUAACCCCGGGUCUGCAUUCGAUACGGGCUAGCUAGAGUGUGGUAGGGGAGAUCGGAAUCCCUGGUGUAGCGGUGAAAUGCGCAGAUAUCAGGAGGAACACCGGUGGCGAAGGCGGAUCUCUGGGCCAUUACUGACGCUGAGGAGCGAAAGCGUGGGGAGCGAACAGGAUUAGAUACCCUGGUAGUCCACGCCGUAAACGGUGGGAACUAGGUGUUGGCGACAUUCCACGUCGUCGGUGCCGCAGCUAACGCAUUAAGUUCCCCGCCUGGG
rnacentral:rRNA from 1 species